rnacentral:rRNA from 1 species
GAUGAACGCUAGCGGCAGGCUUAAUACAUGCAAGUCGUGGGGCAGCAUGGUGUAGCAAUACACUGAUGGUGACCGGGAAACGGGUGUGGAACACGUACACAACUCUCCUUCAAGUUGGGAAUAGCCCAGAGACAUUUGGAUUAAUACCCUGUAACAUUUAGGCAUCGCAUCUUCUUUAUAUUAUAGUUUCGGCGCUUGAUGAUGGGUGUGCGGCUGAUUAGAUCGUUGGCGGGGUAACGGCCCACCAAGUCUACGAUCAGUAGCUGAAGUGAGAGCAUGAUCAGCCACACGGGCACUGAGACACGGGCCCGACUCCUACGGGAGGCAGCAGUAAGGAAUAUUGGUCAAUGGGCGAAAGCCUGAACCAGCCAUGCCGCGUGAAGGAUUAAGGUCCUCUGGAUUGUAAACUUCUUUUAUCUGGGACGAAAAAAGGCGAUUCUUCGUCACUUGACGGUACCAGAUGAAUAAGCACCGGCUAACUCCGUGCCAGCAGCCGCCGUAACAC